GGCCGCGUGGCCCAAUGGCCAGGCGCUUAACUACGAAUCGAGAGACUGCAGGCUCGAUCGAUCCCUGCCGUGGUCA
rnacentral:tRNA from 1 species